GAUGAACGCUGGCGGCGUGCCUAAUACAUGCAAGUAGAACGCUGAAGGAGGAGCUUGCUCUUCUGGAUGAGUUGCGAACGGGUGAGUAACGCGUAGGUAACCUGCCUGGUAGCGGGGGAUAACUAUUGGAAACGAUAGCUAAUACCGCAUGACAACAGUUAUUGCAUGAUAACUGUUUAAAAGGGGCAACUGCUCCACUACCAGAUGGACCUGCGUUGUAUUAGCUAGUUGGUGAGGUAACGGCUCACCAAGGCGACGAUACAUAGCCGACCUGAGAGGGUGAUCGGCCACACUGGGACUGAGACACGGCCCAGACUCCUACGGGAGGCAGCAGUAGGGAAUCUUCGGCAAUGGACGGAAGUCUGACCGAGCAACGCCGCGUGAGUGAAGAAGGUUUUCGGAUCGUAAAGCUCUGCUGUAAGAGAAGAACGAGUGUGAGAGUGGAAAGUUCACACUGUGACGGUAUCUUACCAGAAAGGGACGGCUAACUACGUG
rnacentral:rRNA from 1 species